rnacentral:rRNA from 1 species
GACGUAGGGCGCGAGCGUUGUCCGGAUUUAUUGGGCGUAAAGAGCUCGUAGGCGGCCUUCUAAGUCGAACGUGAAAUCCCCGGGCUCAACCCGGGAACUGCGUCCGAUACUGGGAGGCUUGAAUCCGGGAGAGGGAUGUGGAAUUCCAGGUGUAGCGGUGAAAUGCGUAGAUAUCUGGAGGAACACCGGUGGCGAAGGCGGCAUCCUGGACCGGUAUUGACGCUGAGGCGCGAAAGCUAGGGGAGCAAACGGG